rnacentral:rRNA from 1 species
GAUGAACGCUAGCGGCAGGCCUAACACAUGCAAGUCGAGGGGUAACUAGAGUGAUAGCAAUAUUACUUUGGCUAGACCGGCGCACGGGUGCGUAACACGUAUGCAACCUACCUUAUACUGGGGAAUAACUUCGAGAAAUCGGCGCUAAUACCCCAUAACAUUGCGAAGAGGCCUCUCUUUGCAAUUAAAGCUCCGGCGGUAUAAGAUGGGCAUGCGUCCCAUUAGCUAGUUGGUGAGGUAACGGCUCACCAAGGCUACGAUUGGUAGGGGUUCUUGGAGGAGGGUCCCCCACACUGGUACUGAGAAACGGACCAGACUCCUACGGGAGGCAGCAGUGAGAAAUAUUGCUCAAAGUACGAAAGUCUGACGCAGCCAUGCCGCGUGCAGGAUGACGUCCCUAUGGGUUGUAAACUGCUUUUGUACGGGAAUAAACCCUUCUGCGUGUAGGAGGCUGAAGGUACCGUAAGAAUAAGCACCGGCUAACUCCGUGCCAGCCGCCGCCGUAACAC